rnacentral:lncRNA from 1 species
AUCCCAUAUGAUUCUUAACUUAAUUCUUAAUCAAGCUAAUUUAUUCAUUCUAUCAAGUCACAUACUUUCAAAUUGAACUUAUAGAUUUGGAUCAAUUCUUUCCUACGUUGCUUGACUUUGUGCAUGACUCCAUAGGUUCGAAUACUAAGCCGGUAGCAUAGAAACAGCUUCUUCUAUUAAUUAAAGUUACCAUCUAGCAAUGAUUUCCGACGUUUGGAUAGAUCGAAUAUAUGUAAGAUAAUAUUCAAGAACCUACGC